UGUGCAAAGGUAGCAUAAUCAAUUGGCUUGUAAUUUAAGUCUGGUAUGAAUGUAGUUUUAGGUUAAAGCUGUCUCUUUAUGUUAAUUGAAAUUUACUUGGCCGGUGAAAAAACCGGCAGUAAAAUAAUAGACGAGAAGACCCUAGAAAUUUUAUGAAAGGUAUAGUAAUAUAUAUAUUGGAUUUUGUUGGGGCGACAGAGUAACAGUUAACUUACUCUAUUUGAUGUGAAUUAAUUAUGAAAAUGUAAAUUACUCUAGGGAUAACAGCAUAAUUCUAUUAGUGUUUGUGACCUCGAUGUUGGACUAGGAAAGAUAAUAUUCAGAAGAUAUUAUUAUAGGCUCUGUUCGCGCC
rnacentral:rRNA from 1 species